UUCGUAAUUUCAAAAGUACAAUAACUUCAACCACGCUUAUCUUAUUCGGCUCCUUCCUCCUUUCCCUACAUUCCUCCUUUCCCUACAUUCAGACCAGAUUAACCUAACGUUGCGGCACCGCCUCUCUACUGGCCGUCUUUCGCUUCGUCUCCGCCGUACUGACCAUCAUCGCUUGAAUCGGCCGAUUCCGAACCAGGUUACUUUCUUUUGCACGAACCACGUUAGGGUAUUCCAUAAUUGGAUUUUUGCCGGCCUCUGUUCAACGAUUUUCUCAACUACAUGUUUUUUGGUUGUUUCAAUAUGAGUUUACUGAGGACACCGGUGUAUGUCGCACCACAUCACUCGAUUUUGACCGGAUCUGGGCUGGCUCUUGCAUCGUGCCAACUGGACUUUAAAAUAAAGGUAUUCUAAAUGGGCUGCUAUCAAAUGAUAACAUAGAUUUGCUACAGUACCGAGGUUAAUUUCGUCAUUUAUCGUUGUUGCCCCGUUCACUUUUCAUCUUCAGCUUCGACACCCUUGGUAAAUAGGGUUUACUACAGUUAAAUUCAAAGAGAGAACCCAGAGAACACCGGUGUAUGUCGCUCCACAUCAGUCGAUUUUGACCGGAUCUGGGCUGGCUCCCGCAUCGUGUUACAUCAACCUUCCGAUUUGAACACAGGAACCCUUCUUGCUCCAGUUUUUCCCCGAUUUCUGGUUAGUCAUUAUCUUGCUCCAGUCCUUGCCCGAUUUUUUGUUACUUCGCUGAUAAAAUUCUUCAGUUAGUGAUCUGAAUUUCGGAAUGCUAUUAUUGGAUAUUCAUUACUUACUUUCAGUUAGUAAUAUGAGAAUCGAAAUGAUGGAUCUAAAUCUGAUGUAUCUGCUUUUAUUUUAUGUGAAAGUUUCUUUUAAUAUGCCCACGAUUUCAUGGUUUCAGCACU